GAUCCAUUAGUUUCGGAAAUGUCUGAUUGACCCCUCCAUCCCUACUUUUCUUGAGGUGAAAUUCGUACAAGUUAUCUUCUUCGGGAGGAAACUAACUAUAAACUCAGGUAACAAGCGAUCAUAGAGGGACAUUUAGCUUUGAAAUUCUGAUGUAAUCGCCGGAGAGAUCCGAUACCGUCAUCGGAGAACGGGAUGGGAGCUCCGUUGCCGGCGAAGGCGGAAGAGGAGAGCUCCGCCACGAAGAUCACCGACUUAGACUACGACGCUUUUGCUUCGCUCGUUUCCGGUACCUCUGUGACGUCAGCAACAUGCCUAUGGCGUCUAAUCGGUCAGGCUUGCCGCUUACCACGACUCCAUCUGAGCUCGAUUCUUAAGGUUUUGGAUUACCCAUUUCUGAUUGCGCUAAUGUCUGCAAAAAUUAGGAUUUGGGAUUUAGGGUUUCUGUGGGUACAUAUUCGUUUUUUGUUUCAACAAUAGCGGGUGCUUUAUUGGGUAAAGUACCUUCCUCGUCGCUUGGACAGUUUCCUGAUUUCUCAUAAAGCUAAAGACUUGUAUUCGUUGAUAUGCGAUGAUAUCAUCACUUAUCAAGUAACAACUAGCAAGAUUGAGCUAAAGACUGGUUGAAUUUUCACAACAAAGGCAAGAUUUUCUGCUAGUUUCAACAAAAUUUCGGAGUGAUUCAAGAGAAUCCAGUGUUUGGAUUUGAACAUCUGGUCGAGCUUGUGUAAGAUCACUAGCUAUGAUGGCGUUGGUAGUUUGCCUUUCAGGCCUGUUACAUGUUUGUGCUUAAUUCCACAAUGUAAGCGGUGACCGUUGGCCUAACCAACCAAUCUUGGAAUCGUUGGGUAUGCGAGCGAGGAGCAUUCUUGGGUAGGGAGUGGAGUUGCGCAAACUCAAAUUUGAGGACCCAUUUGUUGUGGAAGUUGAUGCAGAUAAACCCUUCGGACAUACAUAGUUGGAUGUAGAAGAUCUUUUCCCUGCACAGAUGUGUCUUUUGCCAGCCUCAAUGGCCACAUUCAAGUGACAGUUAUGGGUGGAGAUGUGUCUUAUGCCAGCCUCAAUGGCCACAAAUCAAGAGUCAAUUGCAUGAGAUGAUGAUGUUUAUCUAGCUGAUUCCGAGCGGAGUUCCAUACGUGCCACAGGUCCGUAUUAUAGUUGCAAUAUCAUCCUAAAAAAAGGCAUGAAAUGAGUAGCAGGUAGAUUUAGCAAGGUCUGCCAACCUUGCAGUCCAAUGCUCCGGCAUACUUGGUUAGCAUGGAGAC